AGAGUUUGAUCCUGGCUCAGGACGAACGCUGGCGGCGUGCUUAACACAUGCAAGUCGAACGGAAAGGCCCUUCGGGGUACUCGAGUGGCGAACGGGUGAGUAACACGUGGGUGAUCUGCCCUGCACUUUGGGAUAAGCCUGGGAAACUGGGUCUAAUACCGAAUAUGACCACGCUCUUCAUGGGGUGUGGUGGAAAGCUUUUGCGGUGUGGGAUGGGCCCGCGGCCUAUCAGCUUGUUGGUGGGGUAAUGGCCUACCAAGGCGACGACGGGUAGCCGGCCUGAGAGGGUGACCGGCCACACUGGGACUGAGAUACGGCCCAGACUCCUACGGGAGGCAGCAGUGGGGAAUAUUGCACAAUGGGCGCAAGCCUGAUGCAGCGACGCCGCGUGAGGGAUGACGGCCUUCGGGUUGUAAACCUCUUUCACCAGGGACGAAGCGCAAGUGGCGGUACCUGGAGAAGAAGCACCGGCCAACUACGUGCCAGCAGCCGCGGUAAUACGUAGGGUGCGAGCGUUGUCCGGAAUUACUGGGCGUAAAGAGCUCGUAGGUGGUUUGUCGCGUUGUUCGUGAAAACUCACAGCUUAACUGUGGGCGUGCGGGCGAUACGGGCAGACUAGAGUACUGCAGGGGAGACUGGAAUUCCUGGUGUAGCGGUGGAAUGCGCAGAUAUCAGGAGGAACACCGGUGGCGAAGGCGGGUCUCUGGGCAGUAACUGACGCUGAGGAGCGAAAGCGUGGGGAGCGAACAGGAUUAGAUACCCUGGUAGUC
rnacentral:rRNA from 1 species